UUUAAAAGUAGUGGAGGGAGGUGUUCAUCUUUCAGUUACCGCCUCUGUGAGUUGACACUGUGUGGAAAGGGUCCUUCCUUCCUGUUCUCUCUGUGUGCGGUGGGGUGUGCAGGUGUCCAGGCAUUAGGAGUGUUACAUAUAUUUUAAUGCUCCUAAAAUCCUUAAGUAGUCAAAAGUAAGAGGCUUCAUGCUAAUUCUCCACCCUAAAACAGUUACUAUUUUGGAGCAGCAGCGGCAAAAGAAUGUCAGCUACGUUUGUGGGCACUUAAGGCAAUACCAUAAAGAAAACAAAAGCAAAAACAAAAACAGUAGCUGAAGAGUCUGUUGUUUUAUGUAAAAGUUUCAACAUUCACAUGUGUUAAGGAUUGCUUGCCUUGACCUGAGUCACACAUGUGAGUGAGUAUUCCUCUCUUCUCCAGAAAUGCUUAGGUUGGACACGGGGACUUUGCCUGUGAGCCCAGUAGUUGGAGGCCAGUCUGGACUUAGUAGUAAAUUCCAGGCCAGCCUCCGUUACAGGUUAAGGCGGCCCUGACUCAUUCUUCAUGCCUAUACACCCCCACAUCCCCCAAAGAGUGUAUUAAAUUGAGCAUUAUUCUUUACUUGUGAAAGCAACAAAGCAAAAUAAAGACAUUCCGUGGGGGGUGUUGACAUUUCCUACACAUAAGGGAGUUGAGGGAGAUGUUGAACCUUUGGUAAUAAUAAAUCCCAUACAGAUAGUGGCUUCUCCUGGGCUCAAACAUCUAAGGAUGGACUAUGACGAUCCUCAAGACCCUUUCAUAAGUUUACUUGGGUAGUGGGGAGCCUUUUCUCUCUGUUAAGUUAUGUGUUUCAUUGUGUCUUGUAAAAUUUAGCCUUUCCAGCAGCUAUUUCUACAGACAGCACCACAUACUUGGGCCACACAGCCCAACUGAACAGAGAUGUAAAGUAAGAGAUGAGAGGCCCUGAACUGCUCAGUAGUACAAGAAACCAAAACCAAAACAAAGACCUUCUUAAUUUCACUUUUAGGCUGUUAUUUCCCUGAAAUUCAAUCAAAACAGCAUGCUUUGUGCCAAGACAGGCAGUCCUGUAGUAAGUAAGCUUACUGGGAAGUAGCUGGGGACAGUGGCAGAGGCGUUACUAUCCUAGACUGGAUUAGAACUGAUGUGGGCAUGGUACUUACUUGGCUAACUGUGAAGUCUGUGUCAGGAGCACAGUUGGAACAUCAUCUCCCCGUAGAGAGAAGCCAGGUUACAUGCUUAAAGUCAUACCCCUGCUGAGACACAGACCAGUGAUCUGAGUCCUCAAGGCUUCUCUCUAGUGUUUGUGUCCUGACCGAAGCCUGUUGGGCAGAGGGCAACCGUGGAGAGAGUAGAAUUUGGGAGGCUUCUUGAAGGUUCAUUCCAUAGACCUUCAUCCCUUCACCUGUUCUGUGAGGUCCCACUCUGGUUUGAGGAAGGGAUGGGAGAUAAACAAAGCAAAAGAAAACAAAACAAAAUAAAACAGUUUAUCUUGCAAGAUGAGUAAGAGGGGUUUUUUGGAUACAUGCAAUACCUUUGUUUUCCAAACACAGGCACUGAUUCUCAUGGACUUGAGGUUGCUCAUAACAAGAGUACGUGAUGACCAUCAUAAGUGUAGACAGAAACACAACACUGGGUCUGAUGAGAAGAAAUAGACAAAGGCAUGUCAGUGAAGCACCCCCGUCCCCGCUAGCGUUGAUUUAUCACAUAGCACCAGUUCAGAUGGAGGAGUUCAAAGUGGGUGUUUAUAUGACUGGAUUCAAAAGGAAAGAAAUCUGAGAGUGGCCUCCUGUGUGAGGCUCUAGAAAAUAAAUAAUAAUAAAAAAAUCCAUGUACAGGACUUUGGAAAUUAAUAGUUUAGCCAGGCCUGUUGGCAAGGGCCUGUACCUGAGGGUUACAGGAAGGCUAGGAGAUUAGGGAUAUCCGUUUGUACAUUAGACCG
rnacentral:lncRNA from 1 species